rnacentral:rRNA from 1 species
CCUACGGGUGGCAGCAGUGAGGAAUAUUGGUCAAUGGGCUUACGCCUGAACCAGCCAAGUCGCGUGAGGGAAGACUGCCCUAUGGGUUGUAAACCUCUUUUGUCAGGGAGCAACACCGGCUACGUGUAGCCGGCCUGAGAGUACCUGAAGAAAAAGCAUCGGCUAACUCCGUGCCAGCAGCCGCGGGAAUACGGAGGAUGCGAGCGUUAUCCGGAUUUAUUGGGUUGAAAGGGUGCGCAGGCGGAAGAUCAAGUCAGCGGUAAAAUUGAGAGGCUCAACCUCUGCGAGCCGUUGAAACUGGUUGUCUUGAGAGGUCGAGAAGGAUGCGGAAUGCGUGGUGUAGCGGUGAAAUGCAUAGAUAUCACGCAGAACUCCGAUUGCGAAGGCAGCAUACCGGCGCUGAACUGACGCUCAUGCACGAAAGUGUGGGUAUCGAACAGGAUUAGAUACCCGAGUAGUC